AUUUAAUACUCUAUUCUGAUACAUAUACAAUAUAUACACAUAUGUUGUAGUAAUAAAAAUUCAUAAAAAACAGACUAUCGUAUAUAUAAUUUCUCAUUCCGUCAUAUCACAAUAUACCUUCACAUAACCAUCUUCUUUAUAAAAAAGUUUGUUGUAGGCAUCAGGUAAAUCGUCAAAUUUGAUCUUGUUUGUUACCAUCCAUCUGGGAUCGAUCUUUCCGGAGCGUAUGUUGUCAAUAACAUAUCCAAAAUAAUUUUGGCAAGGACAUUGACCUGAUCGGAUAGUCAAGUGCUUCAUCACGACAUGGCCAAUUGGAAACUGAUUACUCGUCCCAACAUAGUCAGCAAUAAUAGAAACGUGGCCGUAUUUUCGAACAGCAUUUAAACACUCAGUAAUCAUGUCUGGUGAAUCUGUCUCAAGGCCGACAGCACGCUCAACUUUAUGCAAAAUACUAGUAGAAAACCGGAAACCGGAAGCUUCAAUGGCACAGUCAACUCCAUUAGAAACCAAUUCCAUAAUUUUCUUUGGGACAUCACUAACCUCGUUUCGAUCAAUGACUGUAAAACCAAACUUCUGGCGAGCUAACUCAAUUCUUUCAGGAACAACCUCAAUUCCGAUCACUUUACUAGCACCAAGAAUUUGAGCCCAACGACCUGCAUAAAGACCUAUGGGACCCAUACCCCAAAUUGCUACGGUAUCACCCUUUUUUACUUCUCCCAACGUGCAUGCAUGGAGGGAUGUACAUAAAACGUCCGACAUGAAAAGCCCUUCACUAUCGGGGAUAUCAUCAGGAAGCUUACAGCAGUUAAUUUCUGCAAAUGGCACACGAAUAUACUCAGCUUGACAGCCAGGCACGUCUCCAAGUAGUUUAGUGUAACCAAAAAUAGCAGAAUGAUGGCUUCCAUAGUUAACAUCCAUUAACUUGGAAUCAUUGGUCGUGUCACAUGCAGCAUAUUCGUGACGUUUACAGAAACUGCAUUGGCCACAAGCCAGAUCAAAGGCUAUAACAACUCGAUCUCCAAUCUCUAGAUUAUUUACUUCAUCUCCCUUCUCAGCAACAAUCCCACAUGAUUCAUGGCCCAAUAUAGCUCCUUUUUCGAUACCAGGCAUUUCUCCUGAGAAAAUGUGCGAGUCCGAUCCAGAGCAUAUGGUGCAUGCGGUAGUUUUUACAAUCACAUCUUUAGGAUGGGUGAUGGUUGGUUUGGGAACUUCCGCAAUCUUCACAUUUAAAGGACCAUCCCAAACACAAGCCUUCAUCGUGGCUCCAGAUGGAUCGGGCUUUGGCUGAGUACUUCCCUCAGACACCUCUCGGUGUCCAAGUUGUUUGUCCAUAAUAUUUGUUUUCAAAUUGGUUAGAUAUUCCAUUUCGAAUCGCUUUACCACAAAUGUCUUUCAAAAGCGACAGGAAUCUUGGGUCAAUUUAAACAAAAAUGUUCGUAAUUUAGCAAUUCUUUUGGCCGACGUGGAUAAUAUAAAAAAUACCAAGACGCCACAUCGCUUUUAAUAUCAUCAUUCUCAUUUCAACUUUAACCUGUGGCUAAUAGCACUUUGUCAUAGUUACCUGUUAAACAAAUUGCAUCACCCAGAAAAAUUAAUGUGUUGAAAUGUACCUAUAGAGAAACACAAGAAAUAGAUGUUCA
rnacentral:lncRNA from 1 species